UACAUUUCUAGGAACUAAGAAAAUAUUAUGAUAACCGCAAUUGUUUUAAUUAUCUGUGCCUGUGUCAUGAACACACCCAUGUAACGUGUUGCCUCGAUGACAUUAUAUAAACGAAACUUCUUUGUAUGAGGGUAGAAUUUUUACAGAUGAAAUGCAAUAAAGUGGCACGAAAAUGUGGGACGUUUUUGUCCAAGAAGAAGGAGAGAACCGAGAAUCGAUUGAGACUGGUUGAGAGAGAUUGUGAAAGGGCGAAAGUGAAUGCAUGAAGCAAAUAGCGCCGCGAAGUCAAACAAUAAGGACGAAGAGUACCCGAGUGUCAACAAACCUUCUGCUGUGGAGCUGCCUGAUCACGUGGUGCAUCCACAACCCGACCCGUCUGGAACACAAAGGUUUUUGCCAACUCUGGAAAUCUGGAUCUCCAGAUUUAGAAGACUUGGGAGACCGAGGACAGCCUCUGGUCAGGGAAGGCCGUGUUGACAGUGACAGAUGAACAGGGUGAAGAUGUGUACCUACAAAAGGCGAUGUCUCUUUAGUGUCGACACAUUUCCGAUGCAGCCGUUGACGAGUUAGGGCGUUAUUCUUCCCGAUUACUUUUUGAAUAUUAGUCAUUGUGUCGUUAUUCGUAAGUAAUUCAUAGAAGCUUAGCAAAUUAUUUUAUUUAAUUUGACAGUUAUUCUCUGCACCCUCGAGAACAUCGAAUACUAUAUUCAUAUUGUUGAAAUCAUAAUUUUGCGCGGCGGCCAUCUUGGAUUUAAAAAAUGAUCCCAAAUUCGUUCUCUGCACCCUCGAGAACCUCGGAUACGAUAUCCAUAAUGUUGAAAUCAUAAUUUUGCGCGGCGGCCAUCUUGGAUUUAAAAA